rnacentral:rRNA from 1 species
CAUUGGCUCAACCAANGUAUGCUUUGGAAACUGUUAGACUAGAGUGCAGAAGGGGAGAGUGGAAUUCCAUGUGUAGCGGUGAAAUGCGUAGAUAUAUGGAGGAACACCGGUGGCGAAAGCAGCUCUCUGGUCUGUCACUGACGCUGAGGCUCGAAAGCGUGGGUAGCGAACAGGAUUAGAUACCCUGGUAGUCCACGCCGUAAACGCUGAGUGCUAGGUGUUAGGUCCUUUCCGGGACUUAGUGCCGACGCUAACGCAUUAAGCACUCCGCCUGGGGAGUACGACCGCAAGGUUGAAACUCAAAGGAAUUGACGGGGGCCCGCACAAGCGGUGGAGCAUGUGGUUUAAUUCGAAGCAACGCGAAGAACCUUACCAGGUCUUGACAUCCCGAUGCCCGCUCUAGAGAUAGAGUUUUUCUUCGGAACAUCGGAGACAGGUGGUGCAUGGUUGUCGUCAGCUCGUGUCGUGAGAUGUUGGGUUAAGUCCCGCAACGAGCGCAACCCUUAUUGUUAGUUGCCAUCAUUAAGUUGGGCACUCUAGCGAGACUGCCGGUAAUAAACCGGAGGAAGGUGGGGAUGACGUCAAAUCAUCAUGCCCCUUAUGACCUGGGCUACACACGUGCUACAAUGGUUGGUACAACGAGUCGCAAGCCGGUGACGGCAAGCUAAUCUCUGAAAGCCAAUCUCAGUUCGGAUUGUAGGCUGCAACUCGCCUACAUGAAGUCGGAAUCGCUAGUAAUCGCGGAUCAGCACGCCGCGGUGAAUACGUUCCCGGGCCUUGUACACACC